rnacentral:rRNA from 1 species
UUCCACACUGGGACUGAGACACGGCCCAGACUCCUACGGGAGGCAGCAGUAGGGAAUCUUCCGCAAUGGACGAAAGUCUGACGGAGCAACGCCGCGUGAGUGAUGAAGGCUUUCGGGUCGUAAAACUCUGUUGUUAGGGAAGAACAAGUGCUAGUUGAAUAAGCUGGCACCUUGACGGUACCUAACCAGAAAGCCACGGCUAACUACGUGCCAGCAGCCGCGGUAAUAC